rnacentral:rRNA from 1 species
UACGAAGGGGGCUAGCGUUGCUCGGAAUCACUGGGCGUAAAGCGCACGUAGGCGGAUUGUUAAGUCAGGGGUGAAAUCCUGGAGCUCAACUCCAGAACUGCCUUUGAUACUGGCGAUCUUGAGUCCGGGAGAGGUGAGUGGAACUGCGAGUGUAGAGGUGAAAUUCGUAGAUAUUCGCAAGAACACCAGUGGCGAAGGCGGCUCACUGGCCCGGUACUGACGCUGAGGUGCGAAAGCGUGGGGAACAAACAGG